CCGGGGCAAACGCGAAGCUGCUGCAAGCCUGAGAUGGCGGAGGGCAAUCACGGAACUGACCACAAAACCCCCCGGCGCAGCGCUCGGAGUGCAAAUUUUCUGCUCCUGGAGAUCGUCUGGGCAGGUCACCUCUUGCCAGAGGCCUUUAGUCGCUUGGCUUCAGGUUAACUCUUGCGCUGUGCGUCCAGAGGUAGAAAAGGCUGCAGUGCCGUCAUAGGACACUUGGUGGCGCCCAAUUGAGGGUCUGAGGACGCAAAAGGACUGGGAGGAUUGCCCCUCUAUCUGAUCUCUCUGAUCUCUCGUCAUCCCCAAAGAAUGACAAGGGACGUCGAGAUCAGGGUGUUCCAGACACUCGGGGCAGCAUGGAAGGAACUCAAGGUGAAGCUGGGAAAAGGAAACACAAAUAUGCAAAGGAGACUUUCAUUACAUCAACAGAAUGGUGUUGGAUGCUUGAGAUCCCAAGGGCUGCCAGAGCUCCCAGUACCAGAAAGCAAAACUCUUUUCCUCUUUUCCAAGGGUUGAAAAGGCAGUGUACAAAGUAGAAGGAGACAAUCAGGUGGAUGAAGCAGCACUUAAUCGCCACACGGAGACUCAGAAACUCAGGGGACUGAUUCUGGAAAAGGGACGAGAAGAAAAGGGAGUACUCAGAUGGUCAGUGACCAUCAGACACCCAUCUCACUUCCAAUGCCACCCGUAAUCUAGUAUCGUCAUUUUCUUUACUAGAAUUUCUAUCUGAAGGCUUUAUUCCAUUUUCCCUUAAGUUGAUUUCUCUGUUUCCCGGGGGACCGGGGUAGGGGGUGGGGUGGCAAGGAAGGUAGGUGUCACUACUGUAGAAC
rnacentral:lncRNA from 1 species